ensembl:lncRNA
UAGAAGACAAAAGAAUUUGUGCCAAAGAAAGAACAAUAAGGGAAAAACCUCAAUAAAAUGGAAAUAAGUACUUAUCUGAUAAAGAGUUAAAAGCAAUGGUCAUGUCUGAUGCUCAGUGAACUUGAGAGAACAAUGGAGGAACCAGUGAGAACAUCAACAAAGAGAAAAUAUUAAAAAGACACAAUCAGAGCAGACAUAUGCAAUAAAUGAAAUGGAAAAUACACAAGAGGGAGUCAGGAACAGAUCUGUGGGCCUUCAGUUCACUCGUGUAAAUGGACUGAGACUUCAAGCCGUAAAACAAACGACUGGGCAAUGAAUGAACUGGGAAACAAAGCAAUAAACCAAACGUAGUCUGGAUGGCUUCUGAGUGAAAAGCAGAUACAGUCUUGGAACAAGGAACAGUAUAAUGGCAGCAGCUAAUGGAAAAAAAAGAUGACGAGGUCAAGAAGAGCAAAGAGAAAUGGCUCAUGAAGUAUCUUUGGGAACAAGUCCAGAAGAAGCCUUGCAGUAGGAGAAAAUAUGUAUAGUGGCCAAAUAAAUCUCUAAAGGGAAAACGCA